rnacentral:rRNA from 1 species
GUGUCAGCAGCCGCGGUAAUACGUAGGGUGCAAGCGUUGUCCGGAAUUAUUGGGCGUAAAGAGCUCGUAGGCGGUUUGUCGCGUCUGCUGUGAAAACUCGGGGCUUAACCCCGGGCCUGCAGUGGGUACGGGCAGACUAGAGUGCGGUAGGGGAGACUGGAAUUCCUGGUGUAGCGGUGAAAUGCGCAGAUAUCAGGAGGAACACCGGUGGCGAAGGCGGGUCUCUGGGCCGUAACUGACGCUGAGGAGCGAAAGCGUGGGGAGCGAACAGGAUUAGAAACCCUUGUAGUCC